CAUUUGUGGGACUGAGGUCAGUUCUUCAGAUUUCACACCAUAAUGUGGGGGUUGUGAGAUUAAUUCUACAGGUUUUUCGCCUUGAAGAAGUGGUCCUGGAAAUAUCUUUGAAAAUCUGACACUUGGCAACUGUGGCCCUGAGGUCAAUUCAGAAGAUUUGACACUUGGCUGAGAUGGGCCUAGAUUUAAAUCCACAGAUUUUACACGUUGGAGCUCUUCCCUCUUAGUCAAAUCCUCCAAUGGCAUACUUUGUAGCGGUAGCUCUGGCAUCAUCUCCUCAGAUUCUACCACUCCUGUAGUUGACUGUUGGAUUAAAUUCAUGUGUUUCAUAUCUUGCAACUGUGACUCUAGACCCAGCUGCUUAGACUUUUCUCCCUGGAGCUGUGGCCCUGGGGUCAGGUCCAUAACAUGUGGUUUUUGUUCUGUAAUUAACUUUUUAGAUCCUAUCAAUAAUGGAGAUGACUCACUGGUUAACUCCAUAGAUUUCAAAUUUUGCAGUAGUGGCUCUGAUUUCUCAUAUUGAGUGCCUGGUCCUAGAGUCAACUCCAAAAAUCCUGUUUCUGAAUGUGGUGGUACUGGGAUGACCCCCUGGGUCUUAGCAACUUGAGGCAAUGCCAACCCCACAGUUUCUUUAUAUUCUGACAUGGGGGGUAUCUCUGACAACUCAGUAACUUCUGAACAUGGCCCUAGAUUGCAGUAAACAAACUUCAUAUCAUGGGGCUGUGGCUCUGUGGUCACCCCCUCUGAUUUCACACUUUGCAUUUCUGAUCCUGGUAUCAAAUCCAGAGAUUCUUUUGUUGUGUGUUGUGAUACUGGAGUUUCCCCCAUUGCUUUUCCAAGUUGGUGCAUUGUCUUGAGAAUGUCUUGGAAUGACACUGAGCUCAUCUCCACAGAUUCUGAAGUUUGGCUCAGUGGCCCUGGGCUAGUUCCUAAAGAUGGUUGUGUCAACCCAAUAGAUUUUUCCACUUGGUGACAGUUGUCAGAGGUCAACUUUGCUUCUUUUCCUUGAUAUCCUGGUCCGGAGAUCAUCUCUAAAGAUUCUGAGGCUUGAUGCCAUGGGGUCAAUCUUUCAGGCUCUGUGGCUUCAUGAUUUUGUUUGGGGCUCAUCUCUGCAGCUUUUACUUCCUUAAAUUGUGUCCCUUUGUUCAGUUCCCCAUAUUUCAUACCUUGCACCUGUGUCUCAGGAAUUGACCUCCUACAUUCUACCAUUUGAGGAGUUUUCACAUCUUCAAGCAAUAGUACUGGGGCUACCUUCUCAGAUCUGACAUCGUGUAACCAUGGCUUUGGGGCCAACUCCGCAGAUUUUGUAUCUUCCGUUGGUGGUCUUAGGGUCAGCUCCACAGUGUUUAUAUCUUGAAACUCUGGUGGUAGGACCAGAUGAACAGAUCUCCUACCUUGCAACUGUGAACUUGGGGUCAAGCCCCC
rnacentral:lncRNA from 1 species